GCCAGACACUCUUUCUCCACGGUGGCAUAGCUGACUUCGCGUGGUAACAGUUUUCUGCUCAGAUACGCCACCGGGUGAUCCAUGCCAUCGUCUCCCACCUGGCUCAAUACUGCUCCCAGUCCAAACAUUGAGGCAUCUGUGUGAACGAGAAACCUUUUAGUAUGAUCAGGUGCCGCCAACACAGGAGAUGCAUGUAACGCAGCCUUGAGUUUCUGGAAGGCCUCCUCACACUCAGUGGACCAGACUACUUGUCGGGGUAGGGACUUUUUGGUGAGGUCUGUCAAGGGCUUGGCGAGGGCACUGUAUUCCACUACAAAUUUCCUGUAAUAACCUGCGGUGCCCAAGAACGUCAUGACCUGUGUUUUCGUCUGGGGUUGGGGCCACUGGGUGAUGGCCUCAAUCUUAGCAGGCUCUGGUUUUCCUGACCCUACUCUGUGGACUAAAUAUUGGACUUCAGCCAUGCCCACGUGGCAUUUCUCAGGCUUCAAGGUGAGCCCUGCAUUCUGAAUUCGGUUGAGCACUACUGAGAUGUACUCCAGGUGGGCUUCCCAAGUGCCACUGAAGAUAGCUAUAUCGUCCAGGUAAGCACAAGCGAAGCCCUGAAAUCCCUCUAGGAGCCGGUCUGCCAUCCUUUGAAACGUAGCUGGG